AAACCAUCUUAAACCUGUCACUGCUGAAGCGUUUGCAUAGAGAGAGUGUUUUACAUGAGCGACACACGCUUCAGUGCUCUGCAUGUGUUUAUAACUCUGUCAAACAUCAAACAUGAUCAACAACUGUUUUUCACUAGAACUGAACCUACAACCAACUAAAAUGACUUUCAGCACCAUAUUGAUCUGGACGCUGGCAGUAUUAUGUCGAGAAUCUGUUGGUCAGGUGACAGUGACUCAAACUCCCUCAGAGCUGCUCUCUCAAACUGGACAAUCAGUCACUGUGACCUGUAAAUUCAACAGUGAUGCGAACUGUUGUCACAAUGGACACCAUUUUGUUAGCUGGUACUUAAAAAAACCUGAAGAAGCUCCUAAACUCCUGAUUUAUGGAGCAAUCAGUCGGGAGUCGAAAACUCCAUCUAGAUUCAGUGGCAGUAGAUCAUCUGGGAGAGAUUUCACUCUAACCAUCAGUGGAGUCCAGACUGAAGAUACUGGACAUUAUUACUGUAUGAGUGACCACUGGAUUGACAGUAAAGAUGUGUUCACACAGUGAUAAAGAGUCGUACAAAAACCUCCGUCAGUCAGAGUCACAGUGAC